UCAAACAUUCGUCUCAUUGACGCAUCUAAACCUGCAAGAGAGUUUCCAACAUACAACUUCGCUUGCCUCACUAUUCAGAUCAGCAACGCAGCACACAGAACUCGUAUAUUAGGUGUACAACAAAAUUCUCAAAAGACUCAAAGUUUCAAGGAGACACAAUCCAUUGAUUUAGCUGGUGAUUUUAGUAAAGGUGAAAAUGGAGAAUUGAACUUUGUUAGGGAAGAUAGAGGGAGUUUUGAUUUGCAAGAUCUUCCAUCUGCAGCACAUCGACACAACUUUAUCCUUCAAGCAGAUCCUCCAUCUUUAAUAUCAACUUUCAGCACUGAUUUUCUCCAAUCUUCAACGCAAUCGCAAACACCGACACGAGCUUCACCUCACGGACCACAUCAUCAUCAUCAUCGGCGAAAACGAAAACUGACACACACAACUUCAACGAUUCGAGAACACAGGUGAGCUCAACGCAGCAACGUCAUUGAUCAUCGUUAUCUGAUUCAAUCUACAAUAACGAUUCAGGACGCUUCUCUGACGAUAUUUUCGCUCAUUUUUAACCAAAACCAAAGCCACCCUAAUUCUCACCCUCAAAACGAGGUUGAGAUUCUAUCUGAUUACUAAUCAAGUGUUAUUUUUAUUACGUGCUUGUAUCACACCCAAGUAAAUUUGAACUUUCAAACGUGAGAGAUGGAUGCAUGGAAAGUGUUUGUAAAAAUGUCUGUUUGAACUUUGAAGGACUUCUUCAUAUACACCUUCUGCAAGGAAAGGAUCUCGACCUGCUCGUUGUCAUUUUUCUUUAAGAAUUGGCUGUGAGGAAACUACUAGAGAAAUCAGACGUAUCGAGCAAGUUUUCAAUUCAAGGUUUUUUAAGCAUUAUGGAAACACCGUUUAUGACAGGGCUGGUUGUGGCUGCAGCAGCUUAUGCAGGUAGAUAUGGUAUCCAGGCUUGGCAAGCAUUCAAGACUAGACCGGCUGGGAUGUGUAAAUUUUAUGAAGGUGGUUUUCAUGCUACCAUGAAUAAGAGGGAAGCAGCUCUCAUCCUUGGUGUUAGGUAUUUGCAUUUUUGUUUUGUAAGAUUGGUUUAGUUUGUAUU